GUCCACGCGGUAACGAUGAAUGCUAGGUGUCGGGAGCAAAGCUCUUCGGUGCCGCCGCAAACGCAUUAAGCAUUCCACCUGGGAGUACGUUCGCAAGAAUGAAACUCAAAGGAAUUGACGGGACCCGCACAAGCGGUGGAGCAUGUGGUUUAAUUCGAAGCAACGCGAAGAACCUUACCAAGUCUUGACAUCCCCUGACUGGAACUUAACCGUUCCUUCCUUCGGGACAGGGGAGACAGGUGGUGCAUGGUUGUCGU
rnacentral:rRNA from 1 species